CCUACGGGGGGCAGCAGUGGGGAAUAUUGCACAAUGGGCGAAACCCUGAUGCAGCAACGCCGCGUGAGGGAUGAAGGUCUUCGGGUUGUAAACCUCUGUUCUUAAGGAAGAUAAUGACGGUAUCUAACGAAUAAGCCCCGGCUAACUCCGUGCCAGCAGCCGCGGUAAUACGUAGGGGGCAAGCGUUAUUCGGAAUAACUGGGCGUAAAGGGCGCGUAGGUGGUUUCUUAAGUCAGAGGUGAAAGGCUACGGCUAAACCGUAGUCAGCCUUUGAAACUGGGGAGCUUGAGUGUAGGAGAGGAAGGUGGAAUUCCUGGUGUAGCGGUAAAAUGCGUAGAUAUCAGGAGGAACACUAGUUGCGAAGGCGACCUGCUGGACUGUAACUGACGCUGAGGCACGAAAGCGUGGGGAGCAAACAAGAUUAGAUACCCCAGUAGUC
rnacentral:rRNA from 1 species